rnacentral:rRNA from 1 species
CAGGUCUNUGGGCUGUAACUGACGCUGAGAAGCGAAAGCAUGGGGAGCGANCAGGAUUAGAUACCCUGGUAGUCCAUGCNGUAAACGUUGGGCACUAGGUGUGGGGGACAUUCCACGUUUUCCGCGCCGUAGCUAACGCAUUAAGUGCCCCGCCUGGGGAGUACGGCCGCAAGGCUAAAACUCAAAGGAAUUGACGGGGGCCCGCACAAGCGGCGGAGCAUGCGGAUUAAUUCGAUGCAACGCGAAGAACCUUACCAAGGCUUGACAUGCAUUAGAUCGCGUCAGAGAUGGCGUUUCCCUUCGGGGCUGGUGUACAGGUGGUGCAUGGUUGUCGUCAGCUCGUGUCGUGAGAUGUUGGGUUAAGNNNNNNNNNNGAGCGCAACCCUCGUUCUAUGUUGCCAGCGGUUCGGCCGGGGACUCAUAGGAGACUGCCGGGGUCAACUCGGAGGAAGGUGGGGAUGACGUCAAAUCAUCAUGCCCCUUAUGUCUUGGGCUUCACGCAUGCUACAAUGGCCGGUACAGAGGGUUGCGCUACUGUGAGGUGGAGCUAAUCCCUUAAAGCCGGUCUCAGUUCGGAUUGGGGUCUGCAACUCGACCCCAUGAAGUCGGAGUCGCUAGUAAUCGCAGAUCAGCAACGCUGCGGUGAAUACGUUCCCGGGCCU